rnacentral:rRNA from 1 species
UGCCAGCAGCCGCGGUAAUACAGAGGUCCCAAGCGUUGUUUCGGAUUCACUGGGCGUAAAGGGUGCGUAGGCGGCCGGGUAAGUCUGAUGUGAAAUCCCGCAGCUCAACUGCGGAACGGCAUUGGAUACUAUCCGGCUCGAGGAGUGGAGGGGAGACUGGAAUACUUGGUGUAGCAGUGAAAUGCGUAGAUAUCAAGUGGAACACCAGUGGCGAAGGCGAGUCUCUGGACACCUCCUGACGCUGAGGCACGAAAGCCAGGGGAGCAAACGGGAUUAGAUACCCCGGUAGUCCUGGCCCUAAACGGUGCGCGUUUGCUGUGAGCGGAAUCGACCCCGCUCGUGGCGAAGCUAACGCGUUAAACGCGCCGCCUGGGAAGUACGGCCGCAAGGUUAAAACUCAAAGGAAUUGACGGGGGCCCGCACAAGA